rnacentral:rRNA from 1 species
GACGAACGCUGGCGGCGUGCUUAACACAUGCAAGUCGAACGGAAAGGCCUGCUUUCCCUUGUGGAUUGCGGGUACUCGAGUGGCGAACGGGUGAGUAACACGUGAGUGAUCUGCCCCCAACUUGGGUAUAAGCCUGGGAAACUGGGUCUAAUUCCCGAUAGGACUGCAGGGUGGUGCCUGUGGUGGAAAACGAUUUUCUAGUGGUUAGGGAUGAGCUCGCGGCCUAUCAGCUUGUUGGUGGGGUAAUGGCCUACCAAGGCGGCGACGGGUAGCCGGCCUGGGAGGGUGGACGGCCACAUUGGGACUGAGAUACGGCCCAGACUCCUACGGGAGGCAGCAGUGGGGAAUAUUGCACAAUGGGCGGAAGCCUGAUGCAGCGACGCCGCGUGGGGGAUGACGGCCUUCGGGUUGUAAACUCCUUUCGACCGCGAGGAAGCCACCUGGUUGGAAGGGUGGUGACGGUAGUGGUAGAAGAAGCACCGGCUAACUACGUG